ACACGACUACAUUAGAUACCCCCUGUAGUCCUAGCCUAAACGAUACUCGCUAGGUGUCGGCCACGGUGCGACCGUUGUCGGUGCCGUAGGGAAGCCGUGAAGCGAGCCACCUGGGAAGUACGGCCGCAAGGCUGAAACUUAAGGAAUUGGCGGGGAGCACCGCAACGGGAGGAGCGUGCGGUUCAAUUGGAUUCAACGCCGAAAAACUCACCAGGAGCGACGGAUAUAUGAAGGUCAAGCUGAUGACUUUACCUGAUUUUCCG
rnacentral:rRNA from 1 species